UGUACGUCUAUAAUGUAAGCAAGAACGUACCUGGAUAUAACGGUAGUCAGGCGGUUUGCUAUUCACACCACUUUUGAAGAAAAACAAGUGUGGGAUGUCGGCCGUUGCUAUAGGAACCGUUACCAUGGUGAUGCAAGGAUGACUGACAAGUGGUCUUGAUUUUAGAGACGGUCUUGAUUUUUAGAGACGAUCUUAUUGCAUGAUGAUCGCCAAUCUCUGCGUAUAAACGCGGUCCAUAUUAGAGGCUACCACAUUACGGUACACCGAGGGAAAAAGCCAGCCUUGCAUUUGUGCAGCAGUGGACACCUUGUCAGACGGUGGAACUCCGCAUGUGACUGUACUGAGUCCGUAUGAUCAUGCUUCUAUCCACAUCGAAUGACGAAAUCUUCCAGUCAUCCUGAGGCAAACCUGUGAAGCAUUCGCACAGGACUUGACCGGUAACUAACAGGACCUGGCAAGAUGGUACAGUGGUGUCACAGAGACCUUCCGGCAACCUGUUUGGGAUUUCUACUGAUGUUUCUUCUUGCUCAAAGCGUGUCAGGCUACUCGGUUCGCAGCUGUGCCUUCCAGCUGCGGUGCACCUGCAUCACGUA